rnacentral:rRNA from 1 species
UACGUAGGUGGCAAGCGUUGUCCGGAAUUAUUGGGCGUAAAGCGCGCGCAGGCGGUCUUCUAAGUCUGAUGUGAAAGCCCCCAGCUUAACUGGGGAGGGUCAUUGGAAACUGGGAGACUUGAGUACAGAAGAGGAGAGUGGAAUUCCACGUGUAGCGGUGAAAUGCGUAGAGAUGUGGAGGAACACCAGUGGCGAAGGCGACUCUCUGGUCUGUAACUGACGCUGAGGCGCGAAAGCGUGGGGAGCAAACCGG